GAUCCUGCCAGUAGUGUAUGCUUCUCCUAAAGACUAAGCCAUGCAUGCCUUCGAAUAGAAGACGCAAUCUCUCUGAAUCUGCGAACGGCUCCGCAUACCAGUUGUAAACCAUAGCAAGCCAACCUUGGGAAGACCCGAUCAAAAGGGAUGACCCUUGGUUGAAUAAGGAUACCCAUGGUAAUUCUGAGGCUAAUACAAGUAUAUAACGACUUGGUCAACCGGGAAACUGGAAGGCUGGGGGUCGUGUGAAGCUUAACUGCAACACCGACCUAGGAAACGAUGCACAAUCAGACCACCACACAAACGGUCUCGUUCUGAGGCAAGUACCUUCGGGGAAAGCCAAAGGGCUUGACUGGGUGGCUCUUGCUUUGUGCUUCUGACCUAUCAACUCGAUGGCAGCGUAAGGGACAUGCUAUGGUUACAACGGGUACAGAGGAUAAGGGUUCGAUCCUGGAGAGUGGGCCUGAGAGAUUGCUCACACUUCUAAGGAAGGCAGCAGGCGCGCAACGUUCCCAAUGGGUAACACCUGAGGGCGUUAGGGGACAUAUGAAUGCCUGCCAUUAGGUGGGCAAUUCAAAUGGGACUGAUGCAAACAGCCCAUCGAGUAACAAUUAGAGGACAAGUCUGGUGCCAGCACCCGCGGUAAUUCCAGCUCUAAUAGCAUACGUUAAAGUUGUUGCGGUUAAAACGCUCGUAGUCGGCACCAGACCUUCAGAAACCUUCCAUUGCGAUGUGGGUCAGCUGCUCUGUUUCAACAAAACGGGCGCGCCACUGAGCUCUGAGGGCAGACGUCGGUCAAUCGUACUUUUGGUCACCUGGGUUACUUCGGUUUCCCGGUUAAAAGGCUAUCCGUAUCUGCGCUCUGGCGCGGGUACGGGUGGUUGGCUGACUGUACCGUUUACUAUGACCAAACUGGAGUGCUCAAAGCCGGUCACUUUGAUCACUACAGCGCAGCAUAGUAUAACGAUACCCAGGACAGUACGUUGCAGGUACUGGACUGGGUAAAAGAUUAAGGGAUGUUCGAGGGUGACCGAAUUACUGGGCGAGUGGUGAAAUACGUUGACCCUAGUAAGUCGACCAAAGGCGAAAGCAGUCAUCAAGGGCAUACCCGAUGAUCAAGAGCGAAAGUUAAGGGUUCGAAGACGAUCAGAUACCGUCGUAGUCUUAACUAUAAACGAUACAAACCAGGGAUAGGACACUGUCCAUCUCGACUCCUCCCGGACCUCGGAGAAAUCAAAGUCUUUGGGUUCUGGGGGGAGUAUGGUCGCAAGGCUGAAACUUAAAGGAAUUGACGGAAGGGCACACAAAGAGUGGAACCUGCGGCUUAAUUUGACUCAACACGGGAAAACUCACCGGGUCCGGAUACACGUAUGAAAGACAAGCUGAUAGACUUUUCUCAAUAAUGUAAGUGGUGGUGCAUGGCCGUUCUUAGUUCGUGGAGUGGUUUGUCUGGUCUAUUCCGAUAACGAGCGAGACCUCAACGAUCUAACUAGGGGAUUCAGCCCGGUUUCGAACCCGAAAGGGAUCGCUGCUAGCUGGAUCUUCGUAAAAGCAUAGCUUCAUAGACGGAUUAGGGUCGAUAAGAUCCUUGAAAUGGGUUAAUAACAGGUCAGUCAUGCCCUUAGAUGUUCUGGGCCGCACGCGCGUUACAAUGGCAUGUAAAGCGAGUGCUCACUGGUGAGCUUACCGUCGUCGAGAGGCACCGGCAAUCCAUAAUCCCUGCCUUGACUGGGAUAGAUCAUUGCAAUUAUUGGUCUUAAACGAGGAAUUUUUAGUAAUAGCCAGGUCAUUAUCCUGCGCUGAAUGCGUCCCUGCCCUUUGUACACACCGCCCGUCGCUGCUACCGAUUGGACCUCAGAGUUACGAGUUCAGAGAUCGAGCAAGGCCUCCGACGCAAGUUGGCUGGCUAAGCCCGAUCAAAGUCCUAAUUACUCUGAGGUCUAGAGGAAGCAGAAGUC
rnacentral:rRNA from 1 species